rnacentral:lncRNA from 1 species
AAUCAUUGGCAAGCGUGCUGUAUCAGCCACCCGUGAUGAUAUCGAUAUCAGCACAGUUGCAAAAGCUUUAUCACACCUUUAAUCUGUAUGACGUCACGUCAUCGAUUGUAGUCACUGUUGCAAAGGCUUUAUCAAACCCCUUAUCUGUAUGACGUCAUGUCAAACCUAUAAUCUGUAUGACGUCAUUUCAAACCUCCUUAUCUAUAUGACGUCAUGUCACAUAAACAAAUCUACUUAAAGUAUAUGUAUAUAAUAAAGUGUAUAUGAUAUGGCUUUUUCAAUAUCACACACCAUAUCAACCCUCAACCAAUAUAAUCCCUCGAGCAGAGCUCUUGGGAUUAUAUUGGUG